AUUCUGCCCAAGCGGGGAAGGAUGAGAAGCUUCGACCAAGGUUCGACUCGAGCGCCAGCGAGAGAGCGUUGCCGUAGGCAAC
rnacentral:sRNA from 1 species